CAGGCAGGGACAGCUCCUGGGACAGCCAUGCUCUGUCUUUGUCCCUCCAAGUCACAUCCUCAACCCCAGGCCUGGGGUCAGAACUGGCCAGUUUUCCUUCCCUGUGGGAGUCUCAGGGAGGCCCCUGCUGCUUCUCCUGCUGCCCCCUACCACCUGCCACCGUCCCAUCCCUGGCCUGUGUUCUUCCCCCCUCCUCCUCUGGGCGCGGGGCAGUUCAGCCGAUAGCCAGGUAGGAAAGGAGAUGUCAGUCUCCACUUGUUGCACUGCCCCUAAAUUUCUAGAAGCUUCUCUCUGGGGGUCCUUCUUCCUUGCCUUAUUUCAGGGGAACUGACUCCCGUAGGAUGGUGAGGGGAAAGGACAGCUCAGGGUCUUCACCACCUCAUGAAAGUGGCUUAAUCAAGAGCCUGGUGUGGGCAGCUUUGGGUUCUGCCCAGAUGGGGCCAGCAGCAAGUGGAGGAUGGACAGGCUCUGCACAGGGCUGUGGGGUUGGACCCCAGAACUCCACAGGGGACAGAACACGGUGUCUGUGUUGGUUUGCUAGGGCUGCUGUAACAGUAAGCGAGGUGGCUUAACAGAAGUCCCUUUUCUCACUGUUCUGGAGGUUGGGGGUCUGAAGUCAAAACGUUGGCAGGGUCGGUUCCUUCUGAGGGGUAUGAGGAAGGAUCUGUCCCGUGCCUCUUCCCUGCCUUCUGGUGAUUGGCAGGCAGCCUUAGCUAUUCCUGGGUGGGACAUGCCUCACAUCGCUCUCUGCCCUAAGGUUGCCCUAAGGUGUGUUGACUGCACCCAAACCUCCCUGUCCUAGGGAUGCCAUACUGAAUUAGGACCCACCUUGAUGAUCCCAUUUUAAUCUAACUUAUUAUAUCUGCAAUGACCCUGUUUUAAAAUAAAGUCACAUACUGAGGUACUGGGGUUAGGACUCCAACAUAUGAUUGGGGGGAUAUAAGUUAACCCCUAUUGGUACCCUAUCAGCUACAGGAGUGACUGUGGCAACUUAAGUCAAGGAGAUGCUGAAAUUUGAGUCCUGUCCUUCUCUGUGCCUAUAUCCCACCCCCCAGAUGGGGUUAACAGUGUCAACUUGCAGGGUUCGUGUGGGGAUUCCAUAGGGGACAUUUGGGAGUGCGCUGGGCUCCUGCUGGCCACUGACUCUGUCUGGGCAGUGACUUCAUCUGGAUUAGGGGCAUCCCCUGAGCUGGCCUCCUGGGAAACCGUGUAUUACUGGAAAAGCAGAAGCAACAGUAGAGAAAAACUUCUCAUCACCUUUCUCACUUCCCCUUUGGCCAGGAAUUUGGAAGCUCCUGUCAAUAUAGAGUUCAAGUUCCUCAAAAGCUCUGGGCUGAAGCACUUGCCUCCUGUGGGUGUUUGGACAAGUGCUAUCUUCAUUGGACCUGCUGGGGCAUCUUGGGCACGUCUGACUUGGGGUUCCCUUUGCCACAUCAUUCUGAGAUUGGCCUUCCCACCAGUCUCCACCUAAAUCCCUCCGCUCCCAGGGAGGGAGGGCAGGCCAACCUAGAAACACCUGUGGCUGGACUACCCCUUGGUAGCUUUUCUUCUUCCAGCAAGUGGGCCCCUUGACCCCUUUCUUAGGUCCACUCUAGAUAUUAACCAGCAGUGUGGGCUUUGCAAUUUUCAUAGGUACUUGAUUCUAGGCUCAAUCCCAUUCCCCAGGGACUGGGCUGAUGCCAUACUUUAUUGGACCAAAUCAUAUCUUAAGAAGCUCUGUCUGUCCGUGAUAACAAUAGAGAUUCAGAGGGUACAAAAGGGUGAAAAUAACUUUCCUCUGCCCCUGGCCCUGGUCUUCCAGCUCCCUUCCCCAGAUGUAGUGUCCUUCUCAUUCUUCCAGAAGUACUUUGUGACCACAGAAGCAAAUGGACAUGACAACCCAAGCCUUCUCCAUCUUGCUUUUUGCACUUUACUGCAGAGCUUGGGGAUGGCUCCAUGUCGGCCCGGGCAGAUCUGGCUCACCCAUUUGAAUGACUGGAAGCAUUUCACAGCUUAUUUUAAUCAGUCUGCUUUUGAUGGACAUUUGCAUGAGUUGCUUUCUUGCUUUGACAAACCUCACUCCAAAGUAUCACCGUGAGAUUGUCUUCAUGCGAAUGAAGACAAUCUGCGGGAGUUAUUCUGAGAAGCAAAUGUUCUGGGUGACAGGAUAUUGGCAAUAACCAUUUUUUGCUGGAUUUUUGAUAGAUUGCUUUCAAAUAAGACGAAUCCGUUUCCAUCUGUUUUGUUAUGGAAAGGGCUGAGGUCCUCUGUGGAACGGAGGCAGGAACUGAAACACAAGUCUCAUCUGUAGCCCAACACAUGUCCACUCCUUAUGAUGGACCCAGCCUGAUUCCAUCUUAAGGUUGGGAGCCAUCUCAUCACAAUGUCAUGAAAAGUUCAUUUCUGUUUUACUGUAAAAUAAUAAGAUUUCUAUUUGGCCUGACCAUAAUUUGAUGUUUAAAAAAAAAAAAAACUUGCUUGGGAUUCUUGCCUGGCUUUGAACUUGCCCGUGCCCGGCUGUCCCUGACGAGAUAACAACCCUCCCUGGAAUCCAGCUGCUCCUCCUUGACUUUGAUGUUAGGAUCUGAGUUUGCCCCUACCUUGAGAUGUUAACAAUGUAGAUCAUAAACCUGCUAACUGCCCUAGUAUUACACUUGACAGAACCCUGUCAACUGUCAGUUCCCAAGACACCCUCCUAUUUGUAACUUUUUGUGUUAUAAAAACUUCUCUGUCACCAGACCAGUUGCUGUUCUUGGCCCUGUUUUUCCAGGUGAGGCAGCUGCCAUCCAGCUUUUGUGCACAUGAUAUAAGCUUGCUUUAGUUUCGUUUAAACUGGACUUGGUGGUCUUUUUUUUUGCAUCAUGGUUCAACAUUUGGAGGCCCCAGUGAGAUUCAGACCACCAAAAUUCUGAAGCUGAACAUUCGCUCUGGGACUCCAGGGCCUGAGCGCUGCCCCAGGGUUUGCGCACCUUGAGAUGUUCCCAGGCCCUGGGGUGUGCCUUUGGUUCAUCAGAUUGCUGGAGUGAAUUGUUGCACU
rnacentral:lncRNA from 1 species